rnacentral:lncRNA from 1 species
UCUUAUUCAAUGUGUCAAUUUGAAAUCAUAUGUUUCUUUCUUUGUUUUUACUUUUUGUCAACUUUUUUAAUUUUUAAUUUAAAUAAAUUUGUAAAAACAAAACCCAAUUGAAAAUUUUUAUUUUUUAUUUUUUAAAUCAAGUUCGAAUUAAAUCGGAUUAAGUUUUUUUAUGAGAAAUGAGACCGAGACAAAAGCAUAUUUAAAAUAAUUUGACCUUACUUAUUUUGGGUAUAUAUACAAAUAUAUAUUUUAUUAAUAAUUUAAUUUUAUAUUUAUAUAUAAAUAUAAAUUUAAACUUAAUUUAAAAAAUUAAUAUUUAAAACUCGAUAUGUUUUAUAUGGUACUUUCCAUGUGCUAUUUUUAUUUAUUUUUUUUCAAUUUUUUAAGUUUUUAAAAAUUAUUCAUUAAAUAAAUUUAAUAAGAAUAUGAGACUGAGAUUUCCCUAGUGUCAUCUCCAUUUGAGUUUUUUUUUAAUAUUUUAUUUUUUUAAUUAAAUAAAUUUUAUAAACAAAAUUCCAAUUGAUAUGGAUGACAAAAAUUUUUUUGAUCCAAAUAAUUAAAGCUCUAUUCCAAGGAGAGAGAGCGAGGGCAACAUAAAUUGAUCAUAUUUUUAUGAUUAAUUUAAGAGAACAAAUAGGAAAUCAACUAUUUAAUCAUUAAAUUAAUUACUUUUAUUAUAUUUGGAUCCGUUAAAAUUUUUUUUUUCAAGUUUAUGAUAUAUUUAUAUUUAAUAUUUAUAUCUUUUUAAAUAUUUCAUACUUAUAUUUAAAGUAAAAUACGUCAAUGAAACUGUAACAUUCGAAAAUUAGUAAUUAUAAAUUAAAAAACUAAUGUAAAAAAACAUUUACUUAAAUUUAAAUGAUUAAAUUUAAAAAGUUAAUAAUUAAAAAACAAAAUUCAGUCAAAUCGAGUUGGAAAUGAAGAUAUGAACUCAGCUUUGCUUAAUUAUUAUACCAAUGAACUUGAAAUGAUAUUAGCGACGUUUCCAAAACUUCGAGUAGGAUACAUAUUCCUCUGACGCUCGUCCUUUCUCCACCGUGGUUACAUCUACAAAGAAACAAAGCCAUUAACUCCGUAGUUUGAUUAGUUUGACGCAGGUAGGUUACAAUAACUUUCAACAAUCGUUAUUUUACAAACACACAAAUUUACUUCUAUUUCAUCAAAAUUGGUAGUAAAAGAAAUUCUCCAAAAUAAAGCAUGAAAUAAAAAAUGCAUUUAUUUUCCGAUCAACAAAAGAGAGAAAAGUUUCUGUUUCUUAGAGAAUUUUCGCUCAAAAACCGUAAACUUCAAUUCAUGACGUUAAUUUGAAGGACACCGAAUAGAUCUAAACAUCGGAACUGGAUUGCAAAAAAACAAAAUAUAAAAUGCAAAUAAAAGAAUCAUUCAAUCUUAUAUUUCAAAAUACAAAUACGAAUCCUUCAAUUUUAAUAGUGUUCGAUUUUUAAAACAAACCUAUAUUUGAAAGAAAGGAAGAAGUGUCAGAAAUCUCGUGUGGAAAGUGCCGCUCAUAGCACCGAUGAUGGUGCUGCGUUUGCACGGACAUACGUUUUUCAUCAUUCUCUUUUCUUCCUUUUAAGUUUUGAAACAAAUUCAUAUACUAUCAGUAAAAACAAGGAACCAAAAAACCGACGCUUCAGAGAAAUCCUGGAAAAAAAGAAAUUCAUUACUUUCUCC